rnacentral:rRNA from 1 species
GAUGAACGCUAGCUACAGGCUUAACACAUGCAAGUCGAGGGGCAGCAUGAACAUAGCUUGCUAUGUUUGAUGGCGACCGGCGCACGGGUGCGUAACACGUAUCCAAUCUGCCCGUUACUCGGGGGAUAGCCCAUCGAGAGAUGGAUUAAUACCCGAUGGCGUGGUCACUCCGCAUGGAGUUUCCACUAAAGGUUUUCCGGCCGCGGAUGAGGAUGCGUAUGAUUAGGUAGUAGGCGGGGUAACGCCCACUAGCCUUCGAUCAUUAGGGGUUCUGAGAGGAAGGUCCCCCANACUGGAACUGAGACACGGUCCAGACUCCUACGGGAGGCAGCAGUGAGGAAU